GGGGAUUUAGCUCAGUGGCAUAAGCAGCUGCCUUGCAAGCAGGAGGUCGCGAGUUCAAUCCCUG
rnacentral:tRNA from 1 species